rnacentral:sRNA from 1 species
AGCGAAGAUGGCGGCAGUGGAGAAGCGGCGGCAAGCGGUAGCACCGCCGGCAGGUUUCACGGACAGCGGCCGCCAGUCGGUAUCCCGGGCGGCGGGGGCGGCCGAGAGCGAGGAGGACUUCCUGCGGCAGGUCGGCGUGACGGAAAUGCUACGUGCGGCCCUGCUGAAGGUGCUGGAGGCGCGGCCCGAGGAGCCGAUCGCCUUCCUGGCUCACUACUUCGAGAACAUGGGCCUGCGCUCGCCUGUAAACGGCGGCGCCGGGGAGCCCCCGGGCCAGCUCCUGCUGCAGCAGCAGCGCCUGGGCCGCGCGCUGUGGCACCUUCGCCUGGCCCACCACUCCCAGAGGUGAGCAGCGGGCCGGCUUGGGCGGGUGGGGCGGCGACGGACUUCAACUCCCAGCAUGCUCCGCGCGGAUCCCUACCCGCAGCGCCGGCGCGGGGGCCCGGGGCUUGCUGGGAGUUGUAGUCCGCGGUGCCUUCUUGGCUGGGAUGGACCGGACAAGGUGGGUUGGAGGGUCCGGGCUUGGGUCCGACGCUGGACAGCGCGCUGCAUGCGGCCUUCUGGCCGGCUUCGCCUUCUGUGAUGCCUUUUUGCAGGUGCUGAGUUUCCCCUUGCAGUUCAUGAUUUUCAAAAUCAUGCAGCUCAGAGAGGACUUGGCCCGAGGUCGCAGAGCCAGCCCCCGAGCCAGGUCCUCCUAGUCGCCUCGUUAGCAGCCUCAUGGCAUCCCCGUACAUUCGGCCAGAAUGUGAAUAUUUACAAAGAGCAGCGCAGUCACCCAGGGCCCCCACCUUAGGGGACAGGCUCCCAGCGGGCAGGUGGGGAUUCCUGGAAGAGCCUGGCGAUGUGCGUGGCGGGUUGCAGGGAAGAGGCCCAGCAGAUGCAAAUUUAGACCCUGAGUGUGGGACACACGGGAGGCGGGAAAGCCACGGAAUUUGGCUGAAGCAUGCGAGGCUGCAGGUGCCUACGCGCGGUGUCCCCUGGCUGGGGCCAGUUCUGAGCCCAGGGAAGGUGGUUGAGGACUAUGUGUUGACGUUGGGGAUGGAUGGGCUGCUGUCUUUUGUUGAGGGGGGGUCUCCAGAAGCGGAGCCUGAGGUAGGCAUUGUGUGUGCAGGUGAUUUUAUAAGGGGGUGCGCCCAAGAGAACCCAGGAAGGGGGUGGGAAGAGCAGGCUGGGAAGGAUGCCAAGCAAAGGUGCCCUUUCAGCUUCAUAACCAGGGCAUAAGCGCCGACCAUGGCAGCCCUCGCCAGAGUCUCAGAGAAGUUCGGGGGGAGAAGAGAGACGGGGAGUGUCCCCCCACCACGGUCACGGUGCACAGGUGUCCAAGAUCAUACUCAGAUAAGGGUGGCAGGGUGUUGGGGACCUGGACAAGGAGCAGACUUGCUCCAGUGGCCCAGUGGCUCUGAAGGCCCCUGGUUUGAAGAAGCUGCCAGAGCCACUUGCGGAUUAAGCUGGAGGCUGGGAGGAGCCUGGAGACAGGAAGGUAGAAAGAAGCGUCUGCAACUGAGACACGGGACCAGGACAGAAGACUGAACUGGAGGGGUCCUGAAGGCUUCAGGAGAGAUGAGAAGAGCUCAGGACCACACUCUGAGGGCACCUAGCCCAGAGAGCCCACAAGAAAGGGUGAGAAGGUGAGACCAGAGGUGAAGGGGGAGCAGGAGGAAGAUGGCCUCCCAGGACAUCCGGAAGAGAAUCUCCCAAGGAGGAAAAGGGGUCAACAGCAGGCCCACCACGUAUGGUUGUUCAGGUUGAGCACUGCACAAGCCAUUCACCCCAUAGACACUGCAGAUGAGGAUAUUUAUGUUUAUAUUAAUUUCCGAGGGCUGCUGGAACAAAUUACCUCCAACUUAGUGGCUUAAAACAACAGAAAUUUAUUCUCUCACAGUUCUGGAGGGCAGAAGUCUGAAAUCGAGGUGUCAGGAGGGCCACACUCCCUCUGGAGGCUCCAGGGAAGGAGCCUUCCUUGCCUCCCCAGCUUCCGGUGGAGGCCAGCAGUCUUUGGCUUGUGGCCGCAUCACUGCAGUCUCUGCCUCCGUCGUCACAUGGCCUCCUGUGUGUCUCUGUCCUGUGUUCCCUCAUAAGGACACCACUAGGCCCCACCCUACUCCAGUGUGACCUCAACUAUCUACAUCUGCAAAGCUGCUGUCUCAAACAAGCUCUCAGUCUGAGGUUCUGGAUGGGCAUGAGUUUGGUGGGCACCAGUCACCCCAGGACAGGAGUGGAGCCAUUGGCUGGAAGAGUUCUCAUAGCAGGGACUCAGGGCAAGGGUGGUGCUGGUGGCAGAUGCAUGCCGGCCCUGGGCUCGCCUGGGCUCCCCAGAGACACAGCCAAUGGGGAAUGCAGAAGACAGGUGCGCAGACCUGCAUGGCAUCUGAUUCUGUGCUCAUGGAGCCAGGCCUGCUCCCGUCCUCCCAGCAGGCAGCUCCGGCCGCCCCUCCAUCCUUGGACCGUCAGGAACCCCUGAGGUCACCUGGCCAGUCAGGAAGAGAAGCCCA